ACCAUAGCCUUCAUCCAUCAUUUACAAAACAGAUCAUAUCAGAUAGACAUAUAACACUUCCAACAAUUGGCAUACAAGAUGCCUUCUAGUGGUAACCAAGGGGAGCUGGUGCCUCUCUCAAUUCCUUGCCCUGAAAAUGAAUAUCCUGCAUACACAAAGGCAGACAGAAUCCAGAAAUCCAGAAUUAAUAAGACGAGCCUUGAGAAUUACGUGAACAUGGUUGUCUGGUUAUAGGAAAACAGGCUAAAACAGACACGGGUGCUCAUUAUAGGCUUCACAAAAUGAAUUAGAAUCGUGAAAGCUUCCACAGAAAACAGAACUCAACACAUCUAAAGAAGUGACAAAAUUGUAAAAAACCAAUGAAAGGCAUGAUAAUGGAAAAGGUGUUUAAUACUCACCGAUGCAAAAUGGUUGACAUCUCGAUGAUGAGCUUCAUCGGCACGAAUCACAGUAAUAACAUCCUUCAGUGUAGAAUCCUUAGGAAGCCUCCAGUAGUCAAUUGCAAUUGCAGGAGCCGGUACAUUUUCAAUCUUGCCACUAUCGAUAUCCUUCAAAUACUCUGUAUAAGAGUGUAUAGCCUCCUCCUCCAGAUACCCAACAACCCUAUGUGCCAGUUUUGGGGAAAGCACAUAAAGAACAAAGAAGGCAUUGAAGAACACUCCCUGCACAGCGAGAACCAGUAGUCUCUCGUACCACACGGGCUUCACAAGUUCCACCAUCGUCAUGAGGUGCAUCCUCUCAUUCUCUGCCUCUUCAAGUAAAGCCUUAAUCCAACCACCACUCUGCUGGAACUUGCGGAGAGACCUUAAGUGCAGUAGCAUUCCUCCCACCAUACCAGGUACAGCUGCCACAGUUUCCAGCAUCAUUGCACGGCACCCAUACCGCCUCUGAAACAUACAUUUCACUAGUUCAGAACUUCAGAUCAUACUGGAAAGAAAAGGGAAAAAAAAAAAAAAGGCUUUGACCAUGACUUUUAACUAGUACGAUUAUGAACAAUAACUUAGGAAGCUUCUACACAGAUUACAACUCCUGACAACGAAGAGGCAUCUAAACUAAAUUGCAGUUAUGGUAUUUGCAAGUGUUUACCCACAAAAAUCAACAAACUUGACAUGCAAUUACAAUAAAAAGUGGUUCAAUUUUUUGCCUUGAAACCCAGGAAGUUAUAGAGCUAACUACACUUCCCCUAAUUGAUGUUUACGGAGAGAUUCCUUUAAUGGAAUGUAGAUAAACUAAUUAAAGAAUACCAGCUAUGCAUAAUUCUGUGACCAUAUAAGCAAUAACAAACAGUCUGAUCAACAAGGCUGUUUUCUCUUCACACCAAUGUUCUCAGUAAAAUUCAGUAAACAAAAAAGAGAGGAAAACAAUGAUAACAUGAACCAAAAAUAUUCUACAAUUGAUAUGUUCUGCUUCUUGUGUCAAUCGAUUGUAUUGAAAAAUUAAUAUUUGCAUAACAUGAAAAAGAUUAAAAAUAAGCAAAAAGUAACAAAAACCUGAAAGAAAACAUCAGUUGGAAUCCGAAGAAGCUUGACGGUCCUAUACGCAACUCUGUCCAGAAACGUCUUCGGCACAUGAUGCUUGCUCAGAUCAAUCGACAAGUCUGACUUAUAAGUCUCCCAUGGCUACAUUAAUUAAACAAAAUUCAAGAUCUGCUAAUUCAAAUAUAGAAACAAAAUUUCAAAUUUCAAAAAUAUAUAAAUAUAAUUCUGACUAGUGCUUCUAACCAUGAAGCAAUUCCAAGGCCACUCACUCCCGUCCUCCCUUGUGAUCUUCGGCCUCUGAAUCCCCCAGUAAUUCGAAACGACAACGCUAUCACUUCCUUUCUUGGCGUCGUCGGAAACCGAGCUCUGGCUCUCCUUCUGCUCCUUCUCCCCCAGCGACGCCGUUUCAGCAGACUGCGGCACCGUGCUCAUCAUCCUCCUCCAGUAAAACCCCAAAACGUCACCGUUCCGGCGAUUCAGAAACUCGGCGCCGUCCAACGGCCUGACGGCCACCGCCGUGGAAAUGUAGCGGUUGCAGUUGCGGCCACCGAGCAGGCCACCGACAACCGACCUCACCGCGAUCCGGUUCAUCUUCUCCGGUCCUAGAGGGUUUUAGAGAUCGUUAAUUUGGGAUUUUUUUGGUAAUAAAAUGGUUGCUUAGUUGAUUUUGUGUGGCUUUUGAGUCUUCAGGGACAAGCAGUAGGGACAUAUAAUGGUAGAGGAGCAGAAGUUACUGGAAAGGGUUUUGAUCUCCUGUUUCGCGGGAAGAUCAAAUGAUUUUAACCCGUUUGCUUGGAGAGCAAGUACGGCAUUUAUUUCUUCCAUCACGUGAAUCUCGUUGGACAAUGGCGGUUGUGUCGUGUGUGUGGGGGCGGGGGGGAGGAAUUAGUAAUUCUCUGCGCUCAGUGCCACAAUUCUUCAUCUUUCUCCUAGAAAAUUUAUUUACUGUUCACCUGUGUGCAGAAAAGUCAAUGGUAAAAUCACUGUCUUGACCAGCAGCAAAACUUGAGUCAAAUGGAAUAAUCAAGUGAAAAAACUUAUUACACAUAGCAUAUCGUAUUCGGUUAAAAUAACAAAAUAAUAAUAUCUUGUUCUAACUUUCACACAAGUGUUUUCAUUGACCAGACCUUGUGUGUAAUUUUUUACGUGGAAUUAUGUAAAUUACAAUUACCCUUUGCAUUGUUUUGCUAUUCCCGUUUCACACAACUUCAUAUAUAAUUUCUUUAUGUGGAAUUACGGAAUUACCCUUCGCUGGAUUCGAAGUCCAUGGGAGACGUUGUCAUGGGCAUUGCUGGGGUGGUUCGGACAAUUGCGUGGCUUCAUCUAUUUUGGACACCCGCUUCCUUUUAUAUAAAUGUUUUAUGUGGAACUACGGAACUGCCCUUAUCUGGAUUCCAAAUACGUGGGACUUUAUCAUGGACACUGCUGGGGUGGUUCGGACAAUUGCGUGGCUCCACUUAUUAUGGACACCCGCACUUACGUCGCUGCUGCUUUUUAGUGACGUGUGCGACGGAGGUAUUUCCAAGUAGCACCGGCAGACUUUUAUAUUUCAAAAUUCGCCAUUGAAAAUUCUGUAAAGGCAGCUGUGGGGCAGGAACCAUGUACCAGUUUUCUAAUUACAAUUAAAAAAGGAAAACACAUGUUAAAAAAGGAAAACACAUGGCAUGCACUCUAAUUAAUCCACGUUUGUCGAAAGUUGAAGAUCCGUCCAUAUUAUAAUUUAAUGUAAUGAUCAAAUUUACUUGCUUCCCUUGGAGGUAGAAAUUAUCAAACGUUCUAAGCAUAUACAAUUGGGCAUGCUCCAAUGGAAAUGACAAGCAAAGCAAUUAGAUUUGUCAAUUUGAUUAUUAUUUGUUUGCAAUUUUUGAAGUCAAGUCAGGUGUGCACCAGGUGAACUUUCCCAUCCUCAAUGUUGUGUGAGGCAAAAUAUGUGUAUGGAAGAUGUGAGUUAGGUUAAUUGGCUAAUUUAGUGUAUUCUUUACACUCGAAUUUGAUUUUAUUUUUUGUAAUUUCGCAUAAUUUAGAUUAUUAUUUGUAUAUUUAAAAAAGGGAUUGAUUCAUCCUGAUUAUAAAAAUAGGCCACUGGAUCCAAUCAAAACGAAAUUAAGAAGAUAGAAAACACGCUGUUUACAAUCUUAUUAGAUGUGUCUAGAAAACAAUCUGUGUUCAUAUACAUCAUUUAGAAUCUUCGUGAAUAUACAAGAGAGUAUUUAUUAGAUCAUAAAAGGAAGAAUAAAAAAAACUCUUUUAAUUCUUCACGUACAUACAAGAUGAGUUUUAGUGAUAACCCAGGGGAGCUGGUGCUUCUCUUAACUCCUUCCCCUGAAAAUGAAUAUCCUGCAAAACAAAACACAAAACAGAUGAGAAACCCAAAUUGAUAAGACACACCUUAAGAUAAGAUAAAUUUGAGACUAAUAAUGCAAACAUGGUUUUCUGGUUAUAGAAAACAGAAUCAAACAAAAACAAUGCUCCUCCAUGUAUCAACGGAAGAAGUAACAAAAAUUGUGAAACCAGCAAAGAUCGUGGAAAGGCAGUUCAUAAGACUCACAGAUGCAAAAUGGUUGACAUCGCGAUGGUGAGCUUCAUCCGCCCGAAUCACAGUGAUAACAUCGUGAAGUGUGGCAUCCUUAGGCAGCCUCCAGUAGUCAAUUGCGAUUGCAGGAGCCUUCACAUUUUCAAUUUUGCCAUUUUCAAUAUCCUUCAAGUACUCUGUGUACGAGUGCACAGCUUCCUCCUCCAGAUACCCAACAACCCUAUGAGCCACUUUGGGGGAAAGCGCAUAAAGCACAAAGAAGGCAUUGAAGAACACUCCCUGCACGGCGAGAACCAGAAGCCUCUCGUGCCAUGCGGGCUUCACAAGUUCCACCACCGUCAUCAGGUGCAUCCUCUCAUUCUCUGCCUCUUCAAGUAAAGCUUUGAUCCAGCCACCGCUGUGCUCGAAUUUACGGAGAGACUUCAAAUGCAGCAUCAUGCCUCCCACCAUUCCGGGGACAGCUGCCACAGUUUCCAGCAUCAUUGCAUGGCACCCAUGCCGCUUCUGCAACAUGAAUAAUGUUCAGUUUAUAUAAUUUCCUCCAACCAUGUCAAAUUUUUAUGUUCCCCUUUUAUAAUUUACUAAGAACAAACAUCGGAAUUCCGAAAUUCACAAGCAUUUUACAUUGAUUCAAGCUUGUAACAGACUCAUAAUAAA
rnacentral:lncRNA from 1 species